GUCCACACCGUAACGAUGGAUACUAGGUGUAGGAGGUAUCGACCCUUCUGUGCCGCAGUUAACACAAUAAGUAUCCCACCUGGGGAGUACGACCGCAAGGUUGAACUCAAGGAAUUGACGGGGCCCGGCACAAGCAGUGGAGUAUGUGGUUUAAUUCGAAGCAACGCGAAGAACCUUACCUGGGCUUGACAUCCCUGGGAAUCGAGUAGAGAUACUUGAGUGCCUUCGGGAAUCAGGUGACAGGUGGUGCAUGGUUGUCGU
rnacentral:rRNA from 1 species